UACAGAGGUCUCAAGCGUUGUUCGGAUUCAUUGGGCGUAAAGGGUGCGUAGGCGGCGCGGCAAGUCGGGUGUGAAAUCUCGGAGCUUAACUCCGAAACUGCAUUCGAUACUGCCGUGCUUGAGGACUGGAGAGGAGACUGGAAUUUACGGUGUAGCGGUGAAAUGCGUAGAUAUCGUAAGGAAGACCAGUGGCGAAGGCGGGUCUCUGGACAGUUCCUGACGCUGAGACACGAAGGCCAGGGGAGCAAACGGG
rnacentral:rRNA from 1 species